rnacentral:lncRNA from 10 species
CGGCUGUCUGUGUUCCCUGGCUGGCAUGUUGGGAGGAAAAGACUUGGCUGACGGGCCGGAGGCCCCUGCGGCCCCAGGCCCCUGAAAGGAAGGUUCAGAAAGGCCCCUGUGUUCCGGCCUGGUCCAGAGCUGGCUUUUUCCAGACCAGGGCCUCAGGAGUCUUUGGAAAGAACACCGAGUACCUGACGCCCACUGCUGACUCGCUGUGUGACCUCAGGUGGAGAGACUGCCAACGGACGCAUCCAUAGCUGGGCUGAAGUCUGUGUCUCAACUUGUGUCCUGAUUUCUGGAGAUGCAAAGAGUGAGACAACUCCUCGUAGUUGGCCACUCUGACCUGGCAAGAGCCCACAAGCUCCCUGCCCGCUUCUUCUUCUCUAGGCAUGCUGUCCCAGGGUCUGAGGUCACACCACCCUUCCCCAUGUGGGGAUGGACAUACAGCAGGUGCAUCUUAACAGCUUGCAGAGAGCAGCCAGCCUCCCCUGCUUCCUGCCUGGGCAGGUGUUCUCACCUGCGCAGGCCUUGGUAUCCUUAUCUGCGCAAUUAGGGUGAUACUCCCCAAACCCAAAUCUUUGUUCCUCCUCAGCUGAAAACCUUCCAUGGCGACCAGAACCUCUAAGUAAAAACUCUCUUGCUUGCAUUCAAGGUCCUGCACCCUCUGACCCCUGCUCCCUCUACCAGCCCCCCUCCCCACCAAAACAGGUCAGCCUGUAAUCCACCUGUCAGCUGGGCAGCUUCAUACCCCUGGGCCUUUGCAUACACCAGUCCCUCUGUCCAGAACACACAGACCCUCCCCUGUUCAUCCUUCAAAACCCUGCCCAGCAUCAGCCCCCGUGAAGGGCCCUCUGCGAUAUCCUCACCGCCCUGAGUAUGCUCCUCGUACAUACGUUGAUCAUUGCACAACUGCAAUUAGGGGUUGGCGCGUCUGUCUCCU